rnacentral:lncRNA from 1 species
GUUACUAAGUCGUCAAACAAGUCACAUUCAAAACACAAAAUCCCCUUCAAAGUUCCUACUCUUAACCACUUUCAACCUACCGUGUCACCCUUAAAGUCCCUACACUUUAUCAUUUUCAACCUACCAAGUCACCAAAUCAUUUUCAACCUACCAAGUCCCUAAACAUUCAAGAUCAAGUUCACAAUACACUUUUCAAGAAA